GACAGAGGUGGCAAGCGUUGUUCGGAGUUACUGGGCGUAAAGCGCACGUAGGCGGUUGGAUAAGUCCCAUGUGAAAUUUCUCUGCUUAACGGAGAAACGGCGUGGGUUACUGUUCAGCUUGAGGAUGGGAGAGGAGAGCGGAAUUCCCGGUGGAGCGGUGAAAUGCGUAGAGAUCGGGAGGAAGGCCGGUGGCGAAGGCGGCUCUCUGGAACAUUCCUGACGCUGAGGUGCGAAAGC
rnacentral:rRNA from 1 species